rnacentral:rRNA from 1 species
GACGAACGCUGGCGGCGUGCUUAACACAUGCAAGUCGAACGGAAAGGCCCUGCUUUUGUGGGGUGCUCGAGUGGCGAACGGGUGAGUAACACGUGAGUAACCUGCCCUUGACUUUGGGAUAACUUCAGGAAACUGGGGCUAAUACCGGAUAGGAGCUCCUGCUGCAUGGUGGGGGUUGGAAAGUUUCGGCGGUUGGGGAUGGACUCGCGGCUUAUCAGCUUGUUGGUGGGGUAGUGGCUUACCAAGGCUUUGACGGGUAGCCGGCCUGAGAGGGUGACCGGCCCCAUGGGGCCGGAGAUCCGCCCAGACUCCUACGGGAGGCAGCAGUGGGGAAUAUUGCACAAUGGGCGGAAGCCUGAUGCAGCAACGCCGCGUGCGGGAUGACGGCCUUCGGGUUGUAAACCGCUUUCGCCUGUGACGAAGCGUGAGUGACGGUAAUGGGUAAAGAAGCACCGGCUAACUACGUG